ACUAAUUUGGCAGAUUUAUUGCAUCAAAUUUAGAAUUUGAAUAUGAAUUUUAUUCAAUUAGUA
rnacentral:tRNA from 1 species